CCACCGGAGAAAGAAGGAGUAGGGGAACGGGUGAGUAGCACGUGGGGAACCUGCCCAUCAGAAGGGGAUAACACUUGGAAACAGGUGCUAAUACCGUAUAACAAUCGAAACCGCGUGGUUUUGAUUUGAAAGGCGCUUUCGGGUGUCGCUGAUGGAUGGACCCGCGGUGCAUUAGCUAGUUGGUGAGGUAACGGCUCACCAAGGCCACGAUGCAUAGCCGACCUGAGAGGGUGAUCGGCCACAUUGGGACUGAGACACGGCCCAAACUCCUACGGGAGGCAGCAGUAGGGAAUCUUCGGCAAUGGACGAAAGUCUGACCGAGCAACGCCGCGUGAGUGAAGAAGGUUUUCGGAUCGUAAAACUCUGUUGUUAGAGAAGAACAAGGAUGAGAGUAACUGUUCAUCCCUUGACGGUAUCUAACCAGAAAGCCACGGCUAACUACGUGCCAGCAGCCGCGGUAAUACGUAGGUGGCAAGCGUUGUCCGGAUUUAUUGGGCGUAAAGCGAGCGCAGGCGGUUUCUUAAGUCUGAUGUGAAAGCCCCCGGCUCAACCGGGGAGGGUCAUUGGAAACUGGGAGACUUGAGUGCAGAAGAGGAGAGUGGAAUUCCAUGUGUAGCGGUGAAAUGCGUAGAUAUAUGGAGGAACACCAGUGGCGAAGGCGGCUCUCUGGUCUGUAACUGACGCUGAGGCUCGAAAGCGUGGGGAGCAAACAGGAUUAGAUACCCUGGUAGUCCACGCCGUAAACGAUGAGUGCUAAGUGUUGGAGGGUUUCCGCCCUUCAGUGCUGCAGCUAACGCAUUAAGCACUCCGC
rnacentral:rRNA from 1 species